rnacentral:rRNA from 1 species
UACGUAGGUGACCAGCGUUGUCCGGAUUACUGGGCGUAAAGAGCGCGCAGGCGGUCGUUCAAGUCGAGUGUGAAAGCCCCGGCUCAACUGGGGAGGGUCAUUCGAUACUGAUCGACUGGAAGGCAGGAGAGGGAAGCGGAAUUCCCGGUGUAGUGGUGAAAUGCGUAGAUAUCGGGAGGAACACCAGUGGCGAAGGCGGCUUCCUGGCCUGUUCUUGACGCUGAGGCGCGAAAGCUAGGGGAGCAACGGG